AGAUUGAACGCUGGCGGCAGGCCUAACACAUGCAAGUCGAGCGGUAGAGAGGUGCUUGCACCUCUUGAGAGCGGCGGACGGGUGAGUAAUGCCUAGGAAUCUGCCUAGUGGUGGGGGAUAACGUUCGGAAACGGACGCUAAUACCGCAUACGUCCUACGGGAGAAAGCGGGGGACCUUCGGGCCUCGCGCCAUUAGAUGAGCCUAGGUCGGAUUAGCUAGUUGGUGAGGUAAUGGCUCACCAAGGCGACGAUCCGUAACUGGUCUGAGAGGAUGAUCAGUCACACUGGAACUGAGACACGGUCCAGACUCCUACGGGAGCAGCAGUGGGAAUAU
rnacentral:rRNA from 1 species